CCUACGGGGGGCAGCAGUGAGGAAUAUUGGUCAAUGGGAGAGAUCCUGAACCAGCCAAGCCGCGUGAGGGAAGACGGCCCUAUGGGUUGUAAACCUCUUUUGUCGGAGAACAAAACCCGGGACGUGUCCCGGACUGCGUGUAUCCGAAGAAAAAGCAUCGGCUAACUCCGUACCAGCAGCCGCGGUAAUACGGAAGAUGCGAGCGUUAUCCGGAUUUAUUGGGUUUAAAGGGUGCGCAGGCGGAGGUGCAAGUCAGCGGUCAAAUUGCGGGGCUCAACCCCGUACUGCCGUUGAGACUGCAUCCC
rnacentral:rRNA from 1 species